rnacentral:rRNA from 1 species
GCAGGCUGCAACUCGCCUGCAUGAAGCUGGAAUUGCUAGUAAUCGCGGAUCAGCAAGCCGCGGUGAAUACGUUCCCGGGCCUUGUACGCACCGCCCGUCACACCAUGAGAGUCGGGAACACCCGAAGUCCGUAGUCUAACCGCAAGGGGGGCGCGGCCGAAGGUGGGUCCGGUAAUUGGGGUGAAGUCGUAACAAGGUAUC